rnacentral:rRNA from 1 species
AAUGAACGCUGGCGGCGUGCCUAACACAUGCAAGUCGUACGAGAAAUCCCAAGCUUGCUUGGGAGAGUAAAGUGGCGCACGGGUGAGUAACGCGUGGGUAAUCUACCCCCAAAUCUGGGAUAACUCCGCGAAAGCGGUGCUAAUACCGGAUAAGACCACAUCCCGUCUGCGGGAAGAGGUAAAAGCUGACCUCUCCAUGGAAGUUAGCGCUUGGGGACGAGCCCGCGGCCUAUCAGCUUGUUGGUGGGGUAACGGCCUACCAAGGCUACGACGGGUAGCUGGUCUGAGAGGAUGAUCAGCCACACUGGAACUGGAACACGGUCCAGACUCCUACGGGAGGCAGCAGUGAGGAAUUUUGCGCAAUGGGGGAAACCCGGACGCAGCAACGCCACGUGGGUGAAGAAGGCUUUCGGGUCGUAAAGCCCUGUCAGGUGGGAAGAACCGUUUCGAUACUAAUAAUGUCGAAGCCUGACGGUACCACCAGAGGAAGCACCGGCCAACUCCGUG